CUACGGGUCGCACCAGUGGGGAAUAUUGGGCAAUGGGCGCAAGCCUGACCCAGCAACGCCGCGUGAGGGAAGAAGGUUUUCGGAUUGUAAACCUCUGUCCCCCCUGACGAAUAGAUGACGGUAAGGGGGGAGGAAGCUCCGGCUAACUACGUGCCAGCAGCCGCGGUAAUACGUAGGGAGCGAGCGUUGUCCGGAAUUACUGGGCGUAAAGGGUGCGUAGGCGGCAUAUUAAGUCAGGUGUGAAAUUUUCGGGCUCAACCCGGAACCUGCAUUUGAAACUGAUAAGCUUGAGUGUGAGAGAGGUAAGUGGAAUUCCUAGUGUAGCGGUGAAAUGCGUAGAUAUUAGGAGGAACACCAGUGGCGAAGGCGACUUACUGGCUCAUAACUGACGCUGAGGCACGAAAGCGUGGGGAGCAAACAGGAUUAGAUACCCCCGUAGUC
rnacentral:rRNA from 1 species